CGAAACUGUCAAAUAAGUUUAAAAAGGGAUAUUAAGCUAAAUUUAUCAAGUGUUUUAACAUUAACACAUUAAAUAAGACCAGUACUUAUGUUUGGUUUGGACUCACUUUUGAUUGUCAUGUUUAUUCAUGGAGCAGAUAGCUCCACCUGCUAACAGUGGACGGCAUCCUGUUUGAGAUAGGAGGAAAGUAUAAAAAGUUUCCGGGUGUCCUAGUUUUUCCAGUUGUUUGCAAUUGUAAUCGUCACUGAUGGCUGCUCACGUUGGGGUUAUGGAGAUGAUCUUUGGAUUGUUGCUGUUGUCCUUGGUGGCCGUCGGGAGAAACAGAGUAAUUGCUACGGACACUGAAACUGAAACUUAUGAAGAAGAAGAAGUGGAUGACGCUGAAAAGCUUCCCAUUCAACUAGACCACCUCACUGAGUAUUUAUUUGAUCACCUAAAACAAUUGCCUGUGAAGCAUAAAUUCCUGACUGGAGGCUCGUUAGAUCCAACUAAACAAACUGGAGAUCCAAAUGGGAAGUCUGCAGGCCCCAUGGAGCCAACUGUUGAGUCUAACUUCCAAAUUAAGAUCCCAGUCAGUUCCAUGAAACAGCUCCUUAUGCACACUAAACCGCAACUCUUCUUCCAGGACCAAGUAGGUCGCAUGAAACCUUUCAUUUUGGCCAUGAACCCCACAUCUGUUUUUGGAGAUCCACUGGGUCCCAGGAAACCAAUGCCUAUGCCAGUGGAGCCAAAUUACCCAAUCGGGGGCCCAGUAGGUCCUAUGAAACCAGUGCCANNNNNNNNNNAUGCCAGUGGAACCAAAAUACCCAAUUGGGGGCCCAGUAGGUCCUAUGAAACCAGUGCCUAUGCCAGUGGAACCAAAAUACCCAAUUGGGGGCCCAGUAGGUCCUAUGAAACCAGUGCCAAUGCCAGUGGAGCCAAAAUACCCAUUUUGGGGCCCUGUAGGUCCUAUGAAACCAGUGCCUAUGCCAGUGGAGCCAAGGUAUCCAAUUGGGGGCCCUGUGGGUCCUAUGAAGCCAAACCCUUUCCCUAUGGAGCCCAAAUACCCAAUUGGGGGCCCAGUAGGUCCCAUGAAGCCUAUGCCAGUGGAGCCAAAGUAUCCAAUUGGGGGCCCUGUGGGUCCUAUGAAGCCUAUGCCUGUGGAGCCAAAGUAUCCAAUUGGGGGCCCUGUGGGUCCCAUGAAACCAAUGCAUUUGCCCAUGCAGCCUCGCGACAAUUCAGCAGGACCACCGUACAAAGACUUGGACUUCAUGGGCCCCUUCCAGAUGCCUCAGGCAUCCCAAUCAUCAAGUUUUGAUGGGACGUUUUACGCAGAUCCUGUUUUUGACUUUUAUAUGUGGUUUUGCAACAUGGGAGAUCGGUUAGAACCACCACAACAGCCCCCCCAGGGCCAACAAAAGUGGGAACAACUACAUUAACAGGUUGGGUGUUUGAUUUUCAUCAUUUUUCCAGUUUCUUUACUACAGUUUUUAAAGUAAUGUGCUGUUUGUUUUUUCCAGGUACAAUGGUGAAGGAGCUGAUCGGCUGUAUAUUUUUUACCACAAUAAAAUGUUUAUCUGUGAUUCCGUGUCUGUCUUUGUUUGCUAUCACACUGACUAAAGUAAGAUGAGGGAGUUCAGACAUGAUAAGUUUUCCCAGAAGAAGGCCUUUCUUUGUGUUUAUAUAGUUAAAGACAGAAGGUCAUUUUGUUGACAGUAGUUUUCAGGCUC
ensembl:lncRNA